rnacentral:tRNA from 1 species
GUGUUAGUGUCAGAGUUACAUGAGUUAGGGUUAGGUCCUAUUUACGGAUCGUAUCCCUUGCACU